UACGUAGGGUGCAAGCGUUGUCCGGAAUUAUUGGGCGUAAAGAGCUCGUAGGCGGUUUGUCGCGUCUGCUGUGAAAAUCCAGGGCUUAACCCUGGACCUGCAGUGGGUACGGGCAGACUGGAGUGCGGUAGGGGAGAUCGGAAUUCCUGGUGUAGCGGUGAAAUGCGCAGAUAUCAGGAGGAGCACCCGUAGCGAAGGCGGCACUCUGGGCCGGAACUGACGCUGAGGAGCGAAAGCGUGGGGAGCGAACAGG
rnacentral:rRNA from 1 species